rnacentral:sRNA from 1 species
UCAUCACAUCUGAGGUAUUGUUCACUUUGAAGCUCAUAACUUCAUCCCCAUAUAAAACUCCCAUGAUAGUUUUGAAGUCCUAAAGAAUAAGUGUUUUAUGCUCGUCAGUUGAUGAGGUUUGGGUUUCGAAGACCCAGAUGAUGGGCUUUGCGAUGUCAUUCACUUAUAAUGAUGUACUCAACCCUCCUUGACUAGUUGAGCUAGUUGAGUAGUUACGGCGUAACAUUUCUCCAUGUCAUGCCCAUGGGCUUGGUGAAACUCACACCAAACAUCAUGGCUAGGGCUUAAGAUUCAAAGGGUUCAUCUUGGAAAUAGAAGUCUACUAGCCACCUUAUCAUCUGUGAGGAUCUCCUUGUGGGAGACCGCUAGGGUUGGGUAGGUGAUGUCAACAAGAGGUUUUUGGGUGAUGUAGGAUACAUAUCGCCUAUUCGCCCUUUCUUCUACUUGAAUGAAUUGUCCUUUGGCUUCCAUUCAUUACGAUCUUCUCUAUGGUGGCGUCUUUCCUCGGUUGUGUUUUUGUUGCAUUAGUUCUUCAACUUGAAUGUGAGAGGAGGCCUUAUUUCAAACAUAGGCCAUUGACUCAACUUUAUUACAAACCAGAAUUCACUGAAUAAGCUGGCCCUAAAGCCCUUGUUGAAGGCGUCAACAAACAUCUCCUUGUUUGGUUGAUGGAUGUGUACACUAAUGUCACAAAAAGUUGGUUGAGAUAACCUUUUAGAGACUUGCUUUCCUACUACUUGAUAUCAAAGAGAUUGGUCAUCUUAGGGGGUUUGAUUUUGUUAGCUGUGAAUCGUUGGACUAACAUGUGAGA